rfam:Lysobacter antibioticus strain 76, complete genome.
GCCGGAGUGGCGGAAUCGGUAGACGCAGCGGACUCAAAAUCCGCCGCCCUUAAAAGCGUGUGGGUUCGAGUCCCACCUCCGGCA